rnacentral:sRNA from 1 species
AGGGCUUCGGCUUCCCUACUUCACACAUGUGGUUCACUGUUGCGGGGGUUCGUGGAGUUAUGGUGGGUGGGAAAUCCGAGAUUCUUUGCAUCCAUGUGAUUUCUGGGGAUCUGUGAAGAACUUCAGACGUGGGUCUGAGCGUCCUUUUCCCAACCCUUGGGCCCCGGCCUGGCUGUCAGCACUUUCGGAGCUCCACCCUCUUCCGUGCACCCCAAGGCCAGUGUGUCGUUGUUAGCGUGUGGGGUGGACAGAUCUUGUGUGUAGCCGGUGGUGGAGAAAGGACUCAUUUUGUCCUAGCACCCACACACACAGGCCCCCACUCCUCUCCACCUCUGCUAAGGAGGGCUCAAAACCCACCAGCAUAAAUGUGGCUCGGUAGUCCAACGUGGACUUUUAAUUUUUUUUCUUUUUUUUUUUUCCAGAGUCUACAAUAAAACAUCUAAUUGGUGUCAGAGAGUUUACAGAAUAAAACCUUCUGAAUGUCUUGUGUAAUGUGUGUCUUGUAGGUAUCUCUUCAACUGUGGAGAAGGCAUUCAGAGACUCAUGCAGGAGCACAAGUUAAAGGUUGCUCGCCUGGACAACAUAUUCCUGACACGAAUGCACUGGUCUAAUGUUGGGGGCUUAAGUGGAAUGAUUCUUACUUUAAAGGAAACCGGGCUUCCAAAGUGUGUACUUUCUGGACCUCCACAACUGGAAAAAUACCUCGAAGCAAUCAAAAUAUUUUCUGGUCCAUUGAAAGGAAUAGAACUGGCUGUGCGGCCCCACUCUGCCCCAGAAUACGAGGAUGAAACCAUGACAGUUUACCAGAUCCCCAUACACAGUGAACAGAGGAGGGGAAAGCACCAACCAUGGCAGAGUCCAGAAAGGCCUCUCAGCAGGCUCAGUCCAGAGCGAUCUUCAGACUCCGAGUCAAAUGAAAAUGAGCCACACCUUCCACAUGGUGUUAGCCAGAGAAGAGGGGUCAGGGACUCUUCCCUGGUCGUAGCUUUCAUCUGUAAGCUUCACUUAAAGAGAGGAAACUUCUUGGUGCUCAAAGCAAAGGAGAUGGGCCUCCCAGUUGGGACAGCUGCCAUCGCUCCCAUCAUUGCUGCUGUCAAGGACGGGAAAAGCAUCACUCAUGAAGGAAGAGAGAUUUUGGCUGAAGAGCUGUGUACUCCUCCAGAUCCUGGUGCUGCUUUUGUGGUGGUAGAAUGUCCAGAUGAAAGCUUCAUUCAACCCAUCUGUGAGAAUGCCACCUUUCAGAGGUACCAAGGAAAGGCAGAUGCCCCCGUGGCCUUGGUGGUUCACAUGGCCCCAGAAUCUGUGCUUGUGGACAGCAGGUACCAGCAGUGGAUGGAGAGGUUUGGGCCUGACACCCAGCACUUGGUCCUGAAUGAGAACUGUGCCUCAGUUCACAACCUUCGCAGCCACAAGAUUCAAACCCAGCUCAACCUCAUCCACCCGGACAUCUUCCCCCUGCUCACCAGUUUCCCCUGUAAGAAGGAGGGCCCCACCCUCAGUGUGCCCAUGGUUCAGGGUGAAUGCCUCCUCAAGUACCAGCUCCGUCCCAGGAGGGAGUGGCAGAGGGAUGCCAUUAUUACUUGCAAUCCUGAGGAAUUCAUAAUUGAGGCGCUGCAGCUUCCCAACUUCCAGCAGAGUGUGCAGGAGUACAGGAGGAGUGCGCAGGACGGCCCAGCCCCAGCAGAGAAAAGAAGUCAGUACCCAGAAAUCAUCUUCCUUGGAACAGGGUCUGCCAUCCCGAUGAAGAUUCGAAAUGUCAGUGCCACACUUGUCAACAUAAGCCCCGACACGUCUCUGCUACUGGACUGUGGUGAGGGCACGUUUGGGCAGCUGUGCCGUCAUUACGGAGACCAGGUGGACAGGGUCCUGGGCACCCUGGCUGCUGUGUUUGUGUCCCACCUGCACGCAGAUCACCACACGGUGAGUGUUGGGCUGGACCACAAAGCUGGAGCCUGGAGGAGGCACUGCCACGUUGAGUUGGCCCUUUGGCUGCGUCUUUUCCUCCGCUUCCAAACUUGCCCAGAGCUUUUGUUACUCAUCUCUGGCUAGGAAAUGGUCUUUUGCAAAACUCAACAUAGUCCUUCUGCGCCACAAGAAUGUCUUCUCUUUCUGUUUAGUUCCUUUCCUGCAGCAGGACAGGUUUGAGUUUACCCAGCCUUCCUUGAAUCUUGAAUCUCACACGGCCUGCUCAGCGGAAGCUUUGACCAGAUGCAGGAGGUGUGGCUAUGAGACCCUCACCUUGGUCUUCUGGGGUGCCGGGCCCUGGGCCAUUGCCCUCUUCCCAACACGGGUCAUGUUGCUUUCUGCCUGUGACAUUUCAGGGUCAUGGCGCGGGGGGCUCAGCCUGUGCCACCCCCACUGCGGCUGUGUUAGAGGCUGGUGGGUGACAUCGGGCUGGCAACUCCUGCAAGAGAGAGGACUCCAGACCCUAACCUGAAGGAGAUCGCCCUGGGUCCUGGCUAAUGCAUGUCUCCUGUUUCCUUGCCAGGGCUUGCUAAAUAUCUUGCUGCAGAGAGAACGAGCCUUGGCAUCUUUGGGAAAGCCCUUUCACCCUUUGCUGGUGGUUGCCCCCAACCAGCUCAAAGCCUGGCUCCAGCAGUACCACAACCAGUGCCAGGAGGUCCUGCACCACAUCAGUAUGAUUCCUGCCAAAUGCCUUCAGGAAGGGGCUGAGAUCUCCAGUCCUGCAGUGGAAAGAUUGAUCAGUUCACUGUUGCGAACAUGUGAUUUGGAAGAGGUAAGGGGCACAGCUGCAGGCAUCAUGGGGGUGAGGUGGGGAGCAGAGCUGCAGAGCCCUCCAGCCCCACCCUUUCAGUUUCAGACCUGUCUGGUGCGGCACUGCAAGCAUGCGUUUGGCUGUGCGCUGGUGCACACCUCUGGCUGGAAAGUGGUCUAUUCCGGGGACACCAUGCCCUGCGAGGCUCUGGUCCGGAUGGGGAAAGAUGCCACCCUCCUGAUACAUGAAGCCACCCUGGAAGAUGGUUUGGAAGAGGAAGCAGUGGAAAAGACACACAGCACAACGUCCCAAGCCAUCAGCGUGGGGAUGCGGAUGAACGCGGAGUUCAUUAUGCUGAACCACUUCAGCCAGCGCUAUGCCAAGGUCCCCCUCUUCAGCCCCAACUUCAACGAGAAAGUGGGAGUUGCCUUUGACCACAUGAAGGUCUGCUUUGGAGACUUUGCAACAAUGCCCAAGCUGAUUCCCCCACUGAAAGCCCUGUUUGCUGGCGACAUCGAGGAGAUGGAGGAGCGCAGGGAGAAGCGGGAGCUGCGGCAGGUGCGGGCGGCCCUCCUGUCCAGGGAGCUGGCAGGCGGCCUGGAGGAUGGGGAGCCUCAGCAGAAACGGGCCCACACAGAGGAGCCACAGGCCAAGAAGGUCAGAGCCCAGUGAAGAUCUGGGAGACCCUGAAUUCAGAAGGCUGUGUGUCUUCUGCCCCACGCACGCACCCGUAUCUGCCCUCCUUGCUGGUAGAAGCUGAAGAGCACGGUCCCCCAGGAGGCAGCUCAGGAUAGGUGGUAUGGAGCUGUGCCAAGGCUUGGGCUCCCACAUAAGCACUAGUCUAUAGAUGCCUCUUAGGACUGGUGCCUGGCACAGCCGCGGGACAGGAGGCUGCCACACGGAAGCAAGCAGAUGAACUAAUUUCAUUUCAAGGCAGUUUUUAAAGAAGGCAUGGAAACAGACGGCAGCACCUUUCCUCUAAUCCAGCAAAGUGAUUCCCUGCACACCAGAGACAAGCAGAGUAACAGGAUCAGUGGGUCUAAGUGUCCGAGACUUAACGAAAAUAGUAUUUCAGCUGCAAUAAAGAUUGAGUUUGCAA